AGAUUGAACGCUGGCGGCAUGCCUAACACAUGCAAGUCGAACGGGAGUAGCAAUACUCUAGUGGCGGACGGGUGAGGAAUACGUAGGAAUUUGCCCUUAAGUGGGGGAUAACCCGGGGAAACCCGGAUUAAUACCGCAUGACCUCGAAAGAGCAAAGUGGGGGAUCGCAAGACCUCACGCUUUUGGAGAAGCCUACGUCGGAUUAGCUAGUUGGUGAGGUAAUGGCUCACCAAGGCAC
rnacentral:rRNA from 1 species